GUGAAGGCUCGGGUAGUGAAAAUCAAGAGAAAAACCAUGGGAGAAAGGAAGAAAUUCUUGUCUUUUUCUUCCAUUUCACCCAUAUUUUGAUGCUUAGAAUCUCAAAGGCAUACAUGCACACAUGUUUUAAGGAGUGAUUCAAGGGCAUUUGGAGAAAUAUCAAGUGGGUUUCAAGAUUCAAAAGAAAUAAGGUAAGAAUUUUAAUGUUUGCUUGAAUAAUCUUUGGAAAUGAGUAGGUAAUUGUGUAAGUAUGUUUGUGGCAACAACGGUGGCCAUAGGCGUGAAGAAAUUGUGAACUUGUGUGUGGAACCUAAGCAAAAACCAAGAGGUAACAAGUGAUAGGCGAUUAGAAUUAGCUAGAUACGCGCCCGAAUCAAUAGCGAUGAAGCAUCUUGUUAUUGUAAGAUAAGUGAUCAGUGCAGGCGUGUCGUCCAAUGGAUCUAACUUUGCUACAACGUAGGCUUGUUCGGGAUUUGGAGGGUUUACUCGCAAGUCUCAGACACCGGUAACGAUCAGGAUAGAGGUCGUUACAAACCUGCUGAGAGGACUCCAACUUUUGAAUCUCCUAGUAGAACUCCUUGGGCUUUUUGAUUGCACUAUCAUCUACACAUUCGUGGGUAAAAGUCAUCUUUGUGGAAGCCAGGAGCAAUUAAAUUCAAGGUUGAUAUGGUUUGGCUCAUGGGGACCAUAUUUAGUGACUGGCUGUCAUUGUAAGUUUGUUGCUUUAUUGGGACUUCAUAUUUUUUUCCUGUUUGUCCUUUUGUUUGGAUAGUUUUUAAAUUGUGGUAUCUGUUGAUGAAUUGAUGUGAAAUUCUUAUGGUGUUUGUUGAUGGACAACUUAGAAAUUUACAGUCUUUGUCAAUGAACAACUUUGUUUGCUUUUCUUUUA